rnacentral:lncRNA from 13 species
AUGAAGCAAGAGAUUGAGAGAUUGAGGCUAUGGCAGAAAUUCAUGGAGGAUCAGCGACCAAGACUGGCCUGGAACAACAAACCUAUUGAGACAGGAAGAGAGAGGGAAAAAGAGAGAGAAAGGGAGAUGGAAAGGAAGAGAAAAGCAGAAUUGGAAAGACAAGAAAUUAAGAAGAAAGUGGAACAGGCAGAAGAAACUAUAAAAUCAUUAGAACGAGAGAUUGAGAGAUUGAAAGAGAUUGAGAAGGAAAUCAUAUUUGAAAGAGAAAGAGACAUGCGUAUUGCAGAGAAUGAGAAAGUCAAACUGGUCAACGAAAAGGUAAAAGAGUUAGAGAGAGAGGUUGAGAGACUGAAAGAAGAUAUGACAACAAAAGAGAUUCAAUACAAAAUCAAAUUUGAAAGAGCGAAAGAAGCGUUUAGAAGACAGAAUGAGAGAGUGAAACAGGUUAACCAAAAUGUACUAGUGUUAGACAGAGAGGUUAUAGAACAGGAGAGAGAGAUGGAAGAAAAGCAGGAAGUGAUUAAGGAAGCAGAGGAAGAGUACAGGGAAAGAGAAGAGAGAGGAAAGGAAGUAAGCAUGAAGAAACAUGUAGUAGUUAAUGUUAAAGCAAAAGCACGGGAAGUCUUCAAUAGGCGUAAAGAGAGGAGGUUAGAAGUGUUGAAGGGGGAACGAGAACACAUAGAAAGAGGACAACAAAUCAGGAGGGAGAAGGAGGAAAGACGGCUGGAGAUGGAAAGAAAACAGGAGAGGGCAAGACAACAAGAGGAGCAGGAUAAAAAACGAGAGAUUGAAAUUGCUAGACAGAAAGAAAUGUUGAGACUAAGAGAGGAGGAGAGGCAGAGAGAGGAAGAGAGAGAGGAGGAGAGAAAGAAAGCCAUUAAAUCCCAUUUAUCUUUAAUCAGAGAGAGAAAAAAAAUAAUACAGGCAAAAAAAAGAGAGGAGAUGUUGGAAGAGGAAAGAAGGGAGAUCCUUGAGUACAAGAGGGGUGAGUUAGAGGAGGAGGAGAAGGAAGAUGACAAGGAGGACAUUCUCUCACCCGAUAAAAGUAUCCGAAGGAGAGCCGUGGGCUGGGUAAACAAGAAGUGGGAGAAGAGGAACAUCAGAAAGAUAGAGAGAACGUAUCAGAGAGAGGCUGAGGAGGGCCAUAAGAUCGUCCACAUAGGUAAGACCUGUUUUCCCUCUACUUAUGACAUCAUCCUCUUUAGUCUCCUCUACACACAUUUGUUCCACACCAGUCAUCAUGUUGCAUCAUUGUUUCAAUAUAAAACUACUGUCCAAAGAAUAUGUUAGCUGACAUGGCUCAUUGAGUGACUGACUGACAUAACAAGAAAAAUACUGCUGAUAACAACCACGUUUUUAAAUGGUACCUUGUGUCAUCUACUAGUCUAACUCUCAAGACUAAGUAGAGACCCAGAAAGAGUUCCUAAAAACACACACACAAAAACGUGUUUUGGGGGGAUCCGGGGGCUACUAGUGGCCAUGGGGCGCUAAGCGAUCACAUAUGCCCUGGCACUAUACAAAGAAUAGGUGCCAUUCUGGACUCAUGUUCAA